rnacentral:rRNA from 1 species
CAGCCGCCGCGGAAUACAGAGGGUGCGAGCGUUAAUCGGAUUUACUGGGCGUAAAGCGUGCGUAGGCGGCUUUUUAAGUCGGAUGUGAAAUCCCUGAGCUUAACUUAGGAAUUGCAUUCGAUACUGGGAAGCUAGAGUAUGGGAGAGGAUGGUAGAAUUCCAGGUGUAGCGGUGAAAUGCGUAGAGAUCUGGAGGAAUACCGAUGGCGAAGGCAGCCAUCUGGCCUAAUACUGACGCUGAGGUACGAAAGCAUGGGGAGCAAACAGGAUUAGAUACCCGAGUAGUCCCUGUCUCUUAUACA